rnacentral:rRNA from 1 species
CCUACGGAGCGCAGCAGUGGGGAAUAUUGGACAAUGGGCGAAAGCCUGAUCCAGCCAUGCCGCGUGUGUGAAGAAGGCCUUCGGGUUGUAAAGCACUUUCAGUGGGGAAGAAAGCCUUGGGGCUAAUACCCUCGAGGAAGGACAUCACCCACAGAAGAAGCACCGGCUAACUCCGUGCCAGCAGCCGCGGUAAUACGGAGGGUGCGAGCGUUAAUCGGAAUUACUGGGCGUAAAGCGCGCGUAGGCGGUCUGAUAAGCCGGUUGUGAAAGCCCCGGGCUCAACCUGGGAACGGCAUCCGGAACUGUCAGGCUAGAGUGCAGGAGAGGAAGGUAGAAUUCCCGGUGUAGCGGUGAAAUGCGUAGAGAUCGGGAGGAAUACCAGUGGCGAAGGCGGCCUUCUGGACUGACACUGACGCUGAGGUGCGAAAGCGUGGGUAGCAAACAGGAUUAGAUACCCUGGUAGUC